rnacentral:rRNA from 1 species
GAUGAACGCUGGCGGCGUGCCUAAUACAUGCAAGUCGAGCGAACAGACGAGGAGCUUGCUCCUCUGACGUUAGCGGCGGACGGGUGAGUAACACGUGGAUAACCUACCUAUAAGACUGGGAUAACUUCGGGAAACCGGAGCUAAUACCGGAUAAUAUAUUGAACCGCAUGGUUCAAUACUGAAAGACGGCUUUGCUGUCACUUAUAGAUGGAUCCGCGCCGCAUUAGCUAGUUGGUAAGGUAACGGCUUACCAAGGCAACGAUGCGUAGCCGACCUGAGAGGGUGAUCGGCCACACUGGAACUGAGACACGGUCCAGACUCCUACGGGAGGCAGCAGUAGGGAAUCUUCCGCAAUGGGCGAAAGCCUGACGGAGCAACGCCGCGUGAGUGAUGAAGGUCUUCGGAUCGUAAAACUCUGUUAUUAGGGAAGAACAAAUGUGUAAGUAACUAUGCACGUCUUGACGGUACCUAAUCAGAAAGCCACGGCUAACUACGUG